rfam:Neisseria gonorrhoeae FA 1090, complete genome.
UGGCAAACUUGUCCGAAUCCCAUUUGGGGUUCUUUUUAUUUUUCGGAGUUUUUCCAUUAUGGCACUGACCGUAGAACAAAAAGCACAAAUCGUUAAAGAUUUCCAACGUAAAGAA